rnacentral:rRNA from 1 species
GAUGAACGAUGGCGGCGUGCCUAAUACAUGCAAGUCGAGCGAACAGACGAGGAGCUUGCUCCUCUGACGUUAGCGGCGGACGGGUGAGUAACACGUGGAUAACCUACCUAUAAGACUGGGAUAACUUCGGGAAACCGGAGCUAAUACCGGAUAAUAUAUUGAACCGCAUGGUUCAAUAGUGAAAGACGGCUUUGCUGUCACUUAUAGAUGGAUCCGCGCCGCAUUAGCUAGUUGGUAAGGUAACGGCUUACCAAGGCAACGAUGCGUAGCCGACCUGAGAGGGUGAUCGGCCACACUGGAACUGAGACACGGUCCAGACUCCUACGGGAGGCAGCAGUAGGGAAUCUUCCGCAAUGGGCGAAAGCCUGACGGAGCAACGCCGCGUGAGUGAUGAAGGUCUUCGGAUCGUAAAACUCUGUUAUUAGGGAAGAACAAAUGUGUAAGUAACUAUGCACGUCUUGACGGUACCUAAUCAGAAAGCCACGGCUAACUACGUG